UCAGUCUACUUUUUGUUGUAGUCCAUGAGGCUGAAUCUCUGCUGAGACCUUUUGGGACCUUGAGCAAGAUUUGAAUUAGGACUCUCCCAAUCAGAAUGACUAAUUUUACUUUGAAACCAGGGGAAACCGGAGCAGCUGGAGGAAACCCAUGCGGACACGGGGAGAACAUGCAAACUCCGCACGAAAGGCCCUCGCCAGCCACGGGGCUCGAACCCAGACCUUCUUGCUGUGAGGCGACAGCGCUAACCACUACACCACCGUGCUGCCCUAGUGGACGUUUGGAAAAGCUACACUGAAUCACAAGAUCUUGAUGAAAGGAAUCCUGGGGUAAUAAACUUACGAAACGCUGUCCAUAGCAACGGCCAAGGUUAAUAUGCACUUCUGUUAGGGAGAGCUCAGCCAGAGGUUUGCCAUCCGACUUCAAUUAAAAUUUCUGUAUGUUAUAUAAAGCUUAUCUUGGUGUGUGUAUGAUACAAUGAUGGGUAUGUGAGCAAAAUAUGGAAGGGAGUAACAGAAAGAUAGCUGCUCUUUUUCACAAAGGGCAUGUGGUAAAGGAAAACCAUAUCUGCAUGUAUACAUUCCUUUACUGUCUCCAUGUGUAUGUGAAAAGAAAGGUACAUACCAGUGGUAUAUUAAGCAUUCUUCUCUGAAGCAAUUAAACCAGAAUGUGCUUCCCUUUGUAAACAUGGUGUUAAACCAGAACUCAAUUCUCAUUGAAGUUUCUUGCAAAACUGAAAAGUGCUCUUUGGUGCAAACAGUCAUUUGGUUUUCUUCUUCCUUUGUCCAAUUUGGGAGGCGUAUUAUGGCCUGAUUCCACAGUUCUCCUGUUGUUCUCAGGAAAAACAACCAGCUAAUGAAAUUCACAUGUGCCCACGAUAAUAUGCAACGAUAUGGCCCCAAAAUUUACAUCACUACAAAAUGUCUUAAAAAUCAACAGAAUUAACCUUAACCUUUAGUUGGCAAGAUAUGAUUAUAAAAUCUACUGAAGUUGGAAAAGAUCACAUUUUAAUCCUUCUAACGUGACUGAGACCAUGCAGUCAAUCAGAAAAAAAAUGUCAACAUGUAUCUCUGAUUAUGCAGAACUGAUGAUUAGGUUUUUGAAGUACUGUAAGUGCCUCAAGUGUUGCUAAGGCAGCUAGUAUCCCAUGAUCUAUCAAAUGAUAUGAAACA